rnacentral:rRNA from 1 species
UGAACGCUGGCGGCGUGCCUAAUACAUGCAAGUCGAGCGAACAGACGAGGAGCUUGCUCCUCUGACGUUAGCGGCGGACGGGUGAGUAACACGUGGAUAACCUACCUAUAAGACUGGGAUAACUUCGGGAAACCGGAGCUAAUACCGGAUAAUAUAUUGAACCGCAUGGUUCAAUAGUGAAAGACGGUUUUGCUGUCACUUAUAGAUGGAUCCGCGCCGCAUUAGCUAGUUGGUAAGGUAACGGCUUACCAAGGCAACGAUGCGUAGCCGACCUGAGAGGGUGAUCGGCCACACUGGAACUGAGACACGGUCCAGACUCCUACGGGAGGCAGCAGUAGGGAAUCUUCCGCAAUGGGCGAAAGCUUGACGGAGCAACGCCGCGUGAGUGAUGAAGGUCUUCGGAUCGUAAAAAUCUGUUAUUAGGGAAGAACAAAUGUGUAAGUAACUAUGCACGUCUUGACGGUACCUAAUCAGAAAGCCACGGCUAACUACGUG